ACCUGUAGUGGAUGACACUUGAUGUUGGACUUCUAAUCCAAAGAUCGUGGGUUCGAAUCCCACCUGGGAUG